rnacentral:rRNA from 1 species
UUAGAUUUUACCCACAUUUACUUGGAUAACUGUGGUAAUUCUAGAGCUAAUACAUGCAAACUAGAAUUCCGACCAGAGAUGGAAGGAAUGCUUUUAUUAGAUCAAAACCAAUCGGUGGUAUAUAAUUUCGGUUAUAUAUCCAUCGUUAAUUUUGAUGACUCUGAAUAACUUUGUGCUGAUCGCAUUGGUCUUUGUACCGGCGACGAAUCUUUCAAAUGUCUGCCUUAUCAACUGUCGAUGGUAGGUUCUGUGCCUACCAUGGUUGUAACGGGUAACGGGGAAUCAGGGUUCGAUUCCGGAGAGGGAGCCUGAGAAACGGCUACCACAUCCAAGGAAGGCAGCAGGCGCGCAAAUUACCCACUCCCAGCACGGGGAGGUAGUGACGAAAAAUAACGAUACGGGACUCAUCCGAGGCCCCGUAAUCGGAAUGAGUACACUUUAAAUCCUUUAAACGAGGAUCCAUUGGAGGGCAAGUCUGGUGCCAGCAGCCGCGGUAAUUCCAGCUCCA